CCCACGCGCGCCCGCCUUCCUGCCCCAGGCCAGCCUCGCGGUGUCGGCCUUCCGCUCCCUCUGGCGGAGGCGGGGGGGCCAGGCAGCGUUCGGAGCGAGACUGGAGACCCGGAACUUCAAGCUAAGCCACAGAGAUAGAGAUUUAAGUAAAGGACCCCCAAUCACCGGGCUGCCACGUGCCCAGCUCUAGGUCCCCUGCAGCCUCCGUCCCCGGUCGUCCAGGAUGUCCCCUCCACCCCCACUCCCAGCCCAGGAAGGAAAGGGACUCCUGACGUUUGGGCGCCACCAAGGAAGCGGCCAAGCACCUGUGGGAACACUUGGAAUGGACAAGAGGAGUUCUCUGUCAUCUACGACACAACCAGUCGUCCACUGCUGGCUUCUUCAUCCAGAAGUUGUGCCAAGAUUUUUGCUUCCUUGGAGCCCCAACAGGCCUCAGUGCGUAGACAGGCCAGUGCCUGGACACAUCAGGUCUGCGGAGGCUCAAGGGCUGAGUAUGUUUCUGAGUAUGUUUCAGAGAUCUGAUUUUCUCUGCCAUCAAGAGGGAAGGAAAAAAUCUUCACUGACUGUCUUGACAAGUAAAAAUGCAGGUGGCUUUGGGAAAAGAUUUUUUUAAAGCAGUAUCUGCGGAUUGAAAGCGUAAACUCUUCUGCCCCGGGCAUGCUGUGUAUCUCCUGAAAAUGACUUUGACUGCUCCACUAACAGAGUGAAGCACACCAGCUCUCGGGAAGAGAAAGCCCUGCAGUGAAGGCCUCCGAAGGAGGCCUGUUUGAAUAAUCUCUGGACCUCAUUGAUUUGGGGGCAUUCUGAAGGGUGAGCUAGUCUGAGUGCAGUCUU